AAGUGAAAGACGGUCUUGCUGUCACUUAUAGAUGGAUCCGCGCUGCAUUAGCUAGUUGGUAAGGUAACGGCUUACCAAGGCAACGAUGCAUAGCCGACCUGAGAGGGUGAUCGGCCACACUGGAACUGAGACACGGUCCAGACUCCUACGGGAGGCAGCAGUAGGGAAUCUUCCGCAAUGGGCGAAAGCCUGACGGAGCAACGCCGCGUGAGUGAUGAAGGUCUUCGGAUCGUAAAACUCUGUUAUUAGGGAAGAACAUAUGUGUAAGUAACUGUGCACAUCUUGACGGUACCUAAUCAGAAAGCCACGGCUAACUACGUGCCAGCAGCCGCGGUAAUACGUAGGUGGCAAGCGUUAUCCGGAAUUAUUGGGCGUAAAGCGCGCGUAGGCGGUUUUUUAAGUCUGAUGUGAAAGCCCACGGCUCAACCGUGGAGGGUCAUUGGAAACUGGAAAACUUGAGUGCAGAAGAGGAAAGUGGAAUUCCAUGUGUAGCGGUGAAAUGCGCAGAGAUAUGGAGGAACACCAGUGGCGAAGGCGACUUUCUGGUCUGUAACUGACGCUGAUGUGCGAAAGCGUGGGGAUCAAACAGGAUUAGAUACCCUGGUAGUCCACGCCGUAAACGAUGAGUGCUAAGUGUUAGGGGGUUUCCGCCCCUUAGUGCUGCAGCUAACGCAUUAAGCACUCCGCCUGGGGAGUACGACCGCAAGGUUGAAACUCAAAGGAAUUGACGGGGACCCGCACAAGCGGUGG
rnacentral:rRNA from 1 species